AUACGUAGGUGGCAAGCGUUGUCCGGAAUUAUUGGGCGUAAAGCGCAUGUAGGCGGUGCCUUAAGUCUGUCGUGAAACUGCGGGGCUUACCCCCGUAUGGCGAUGGAAACUGUGGCACUUGAGUGCAGGAGAGGAAAGGGGAACUCCCAGUGUAGCGGUGAAAUGCGUAGAUAUUGGGAAGAACACCGGUGGCGAAGGCGCCUUUCUGGACUGUGUCUGACGCUGAGAUGCGAAAGCCAGGGUAGCGAACGGGAUUAGAUACCCCGGUAGUCCUGGCCGUAAACGAUGGGUACUAGGUGUGGGAGGUAUCGACCCCUUCCGUGCCGGAGUUAACGCAAUAAGUACCCCGCCUGGGGAGUACGGCCGCAAGGCUUAAACUCAAAGGAAUUGACGGGG
rnacentral:rRNA from 1 species